GGUUAAGUGACUAAGCGUACAUGGUGGAUGCCUUGGCAGUCAGAGGCGAUGAAGGACGUACUAACCUGCGAUAAGCCGUGAGCAGUCGGUAAGAGACAUUACGACUCACGGAUUU
rnacentral:rRNA from 1 species